CUGCUUGUUUCUCAGUGGGCCGCGCCGGCUGGCUCAUCGGAUUCUCUGGGUGCAGUCCCAUCCCUGGCCCGCAGUCCGCACAAUCGAUAACAACAAAGCUACACGUCUGUAGCAAAACAGACUCACACAACACUACUCAAAAUGAACCACAUAAUCGAUAACAAAUAUUCGGAACUGCUAACUCAUGAACAAAAUAAACAGCUGUAACAACUAUGAAAAUGUAAACAACAAAGAUCGGGCCCCGGUUCCGGACCCAGCGUACCCGCCCUACCAUGAGACGAUCACCUACACUCGUCUCCCUCAUUUUGGCCACUAAAUGGCCUACAUUAGCCCGUGUCGGCCAUCAUGCCCACUCUCCCCAACAAUAUUACUUUAGCCGGACAUGCUUUCUUUCAAUAUCUAUUUAGAAUCUCAUGCAAGUGGAUAUUUCGUUAACUUCACAGGUCUCCAUUCAGAUAAAUUAGUAUUCAUGCACGUGAACAUUUCUUCUCCGGAAUUCAUUUUUUUAUUUUAACAGCACUAAAUGGAACAGGCGACGAAAUACUACAAAGAUAUUGCUAGUCGCCGCAAAAGAAACACGCAAGGAGGCAAUUUAGAGGCAAUCGUUGCGCCGAUUUAGGAACAAUGGCCCACACAAAUACUUAAAACUGGGUAUGUCACGAUAAUCAGUCGUGCAACAGGUAGGUGAUAUAGAUCUGUAUUAAAUCGCUUAAUUCUACCUUACCCUACCUAAAGAGCUCUCUGGGGGUGGUAAGGGGCGAUAUAAAUGGGUAAAUUCCAAUUAGGCGCAGAUGCAUCACCUUUGGAGUUUCCCUCACCGUUCGCACUCUAAAGUGAAGCUCGGCGUAAGUGCCUAUGGAGUACAAUCAGGAGUCUUCAUCUGACUCUGCCAAGGGCUCGAACGAGGAUGGGCAAAAUGGAACGGACUCACUCGGAGGAUGUGGGCGUGGUCUCGCCUGUGGCCGCUUCUUCGUUGUUGGAGCCCGGUCGUUGGUGGCUCGUCUCGUCGCCUUCAGGGUUGCGCCGACGCUUGCUGGCGGCGUCGCGGAUAUGGCUGGUGUGCGCCGCUGAGCCGAAUCCUGGCCUUUGGUAUGUUUCGUGGGCCUCUCUGGUGCGCGAGCUGGUCCCUUUGUUGCCGGAGCCGUUAAUUUUUGUUUUUAUUUGGUUCGUCUCUCGUCGCACUUAAGUUUUAAGUCUCUUUUAAUUUUUUUAUAUUUUGUGACUCGAGCGGUUUAAUUUAUAUAUAUUUAUUAAAUUGCAAAAAAAAACAAAACCAAAAA